GGACACCUGGGUAGGAAUGCUGCUGCUGGUUGGCUGGUAGGAGGUGCUGCAGAGAGACCCCUACCUGGCUCUCAUCCUCUCUCAGUGGCAAGUCCAUCUAGUUCAGACUCAGACAGGUGGAAGAAGUCAACUCCUAGCUAGAGUAUAAUGAAGCAUGAUGGAAGUAUUUGACCCAGUGGCUCUUCUAUACCCAGGAGGCCCUGACUGCCACAUUCACCAGUUGAUUUUCCA
rnacentral:lncRNA from 1 species